AGCUUUCCGGGGCAGUGGCCUUGGUAGUAUCUGUUCUUUGCAGUGUAAUUUCUGCAUCGGUCCCUAAUUUGGAACCAAUGAAAGUACCUGUAUUUUUCCGGCCAGGACGGGUGCUGUGAGCUGGCUCAACCCCGUCCACGAGUUGGCCGCGUAUUGCAUUGCUUUAAGGGUUGGCGCACUAAUG
rnacentral:snRNA from 1 species